ACAGAGGGUGCAAGCGUUGUUCGGAAUUACUGGGCGUAAAGCGCGUGUAGGCGGUUUAGAAAGUCAGACGUGAAAUCCCUAGGCUUAACCAAGGAAUGGCGUCUGAUACUGCUAAGCUAGAGUGUCGGAGGGGAUGGCGGAAUUCCCGGUGUAGAGGUGAAAUUCGUAGAUAUUGGGAGGAACACCGGCGGCGAAAGCGGCUCUCUGGCUUGUCACUGACACUCAGUCGCGAAAGGGUGGGGAGCAAACAGGA
rnacentral:rRNA from 1 species